rnacentral:rRNA from 1 species
GGCGGACGGGUGAGUAACGCGUGAGAAUCUGGCUUUAGGUCUGGGACAACCACUGGAAACGGUGGCUAAUACCGGAUGUGCCGAAAGGUGAAAGGUUAACUGCCUGAAGAUGAGCUCGCGUCUGAUUAGCUAGUUGGUGUGGUAAGAGCGCACCAAGGCGACGAUCAGUAGCUGGUCUGAGAGGACGAUCAGCCACACUGGGACUGAGACACGGCCCAGACUCCUACGGGAGGCAGCAGUGGGGAAUUUUCCGCAAUGGGCGAAAGCCUGACGGAGCAAUACCGCGUGAGGGAGGAAGGCUCUUGGGUCGUAAACCUCUUUUCUCAGGGAAGAACACAAUGACGGUACCUGAGGAAUAAGCAUCGGCUAACUCCGUGCCAGCAGCCGCGGUAAUACGGAGGAUGCAAGCGUUAUCCGGAAUGAUUGGGCGUAAAGCGUCCGCAGGUGGCUGUGUAAGUCUGCUGUUAAAGAGUCUAGCUCAACUAGAUAAGAGCAGUGGAAACUACACGGCUAGAGUACGUUCGGGGCAGAGGGAAUUCCUGGUGUAGCGGUGAAAUGCGUAGAGAUCAGGAAGAACACCAGUGGCGAAGGCGCUCUGCUAGGCCGUAACUGACACUGAGGGACGAAAGCUAGGGGAGCGAAUGGGAUUAGAUACCCCAGUAGUCCUAGCCGUAAACGAUGGAUACUAGGCGUGGCUUGUAUCGACCCGAGCCGUGCCGUAGCUAACGCGUUAAGUAUCCCGCCUGGGGAGUACGCCGGCAACGGUGAAACUCAAAGGAAUUGACGG